AUUGAACGCUGGCGGAAUGCUUUACACAAGCAAGUCGAACGGUAGAGGGGGCAACCCCUCGAGAGUGGCGAACGGGUGAGUAAUAUAUCGGAACGUGCCCAGUCGUGGGGGAUAACGUAGCGAAAGUUACGCUAAUACCGCAUACGAUCUAAGGAUGAAAGCGGGGGAUCGCAAGACAUCGCGCGAUUGGAGCGGCCGAUAUCAGAUUAGGUAGUUGGUGGGGUAAAGGCUCACCAAGCCAACGAUCUGUAGCUGGUCUGAGAGGACGACCAGCCACACUGGAACUGAGACACGGUCCAGACUCCUACGGGAGGCAGCAGUGGGGAAUUUUGGACAAUGGACGCAAGUCUGAUCCAGCCAUUCCGCGUGCAGGAUGAAGGCCCUCGGGUUGUAACUGCUUUUGUACGGAACGAAAAGGUCUCUCUUAAUACGGGGGACUCAUGACGGUACCGUAAGAAUAAGCACCGGCUAACUACGUGCCAGCCGCCGCCGUAAUAC
rnacentral:rRNA from 1 species